rnacentral:misc_RNA from 1 species
GAUGCCCUUGCUUAUGGGAAGACACCAGAGCAGUUGCAAAAGGAGAAUAUUCCUGAGCAUCUUGUUUCUCAUAAGACAUUUUCUGGAAAUCGACCUUCUCUAAGUAUACUACUUCCAUCAUUGUCUGCUUACAAUAUUGGACAGUUACUGGCCAUCUACGAGCACAGAGUUGCAGUCCAAGGCUUCGUAUGGGGUAUCAAUUCUUUUGAUCAGUGGGGUGUGGAGCUAGGAAAGUCUCUAGCGACUCAAGUUAGAAAGCAACUUCAUGCAUCUCGUAAGAAAGGAGAAUCAGUUGAAGGCUUCAAUUUCAGCACCAAAAUGUUGAUAACAAGAUAUCUCGAGGCAAGUGCUGAUGUUCCUUCUGAUCCUUCAACUCUUCUGCCAAAUAUAUGAGGUAUGUUAAGAAUCGGGUUUGAUGACCACAGAUUAACGGAGGCCUCAACUUCACUACCAAGCAAAAUGAACAAAUUUUAAUCAAUCAGUUUUGAAGUUUACAUAAAAGUUUUGGUGUUGUAUGGUCACUCAUCUGGGCAAACAUAUCGCUGCAGUUGUAUCAAUAAAAUUCAAAGCAUUUAUUUCUGGUUUCAUUUAUA